UCGCAAUACGUGUAUUGCUCUGACGGUACUCUACGAAUAAGGAUCGGCUAACUCCGUGCCAGCAGCCGCGGUAAUACGGGAGGAUCCAAGCGUUAUCCGGAAUCAUUGGGUUUAAAGGGUCCGUAGGCGGGCGUAUAAGUCAGUGGUGAAAGUUUGCGGCUCAACCGUAAAAUUAGCCAUUGAUACUGUAUGUCUUGAAUAAUUGUGAAGUGGUUAGGAAUAUGUAGUGUAGCGGUGAAAAUGCAUAGAUAUUACAUAGAAUACCGAUUGCGAAGGCAGAUCACUAACAAUUUAUUGACGCUAAGGGACGAAAGCGUGGGGUAGCGAACAGGAUUAGAUACCCUGGUAG
rnacentral:rRNA from 1 species